rnacentral:rRNA from 1 species
AGAGUUUGAUCAUGGCUCAGAUUGAACGCUGGCGGUAUGCUUAACACAUGCAAGUCGAACGCGAAAGCACCUUCGGGUGUAAGUAGAGUGGCGGACGGGUGAGUAAGGCAUGGGAAUCUGCCCUAUAGCGGGGGAUAACUUGGGGAAACCCAAGCUAAUACCGCAUACACCUACGGGUAAAAGAUGGCCUCUUCUUGAAAGCUAUUACUAUAGGAUGAGCCCAUGUAAGAUUAGCUAGUUGGUAGGGUAAAAGCCUACCAAGGCUACGAUCUUUAGCUGGUCUGAGAGGACGAUCAGCCACACUGGGACUGAGACACGGCCCAGACUCCUACGGGAGGCAGCAGUGGGGAAUAUUGGACAAUGGGGGCAACCCUGAUCCAGCAAUACCGCGUGUGUGAAGAAGGCCUGCGGGUUGUAAAGCACUUUUAUCUGUGAGGAGGGGUUUAAUGUUAAUACCAUUAGACAU